rnacentral:lncRNA from 1 species
GCUAUUGGAGGCUUGGAAGUCAUUUGGUCCUACUGCAGGCUCUCUAUAGACUAACUUCUGUUCUAUUUAUGUAAAAUUUUCAUUUAAUUUUUCUGUAACAAUUAUUGUAAACAAACAGUAGGGUGAUUAGUUAAGAGGGGAUGGCAGUUAUAUAUAUUGGGUAAAUUGGGUAGAUACUAUGCCUAAAGGGUCCAUGUUGAUUCAAAUGUGUUUGUUAUAGAUACCAUACCUAAAGGGUCCAUGUUGAUUCAAAUGUAUUUGUUAUAUUUGCUUUACUUCCACACAAUUAGAAACCAUGUCUAUAGGAUCUAAAUGGCUUUUAAUAAU